rnacentral:rRNA from 1 species
UACGAAGGGUGCAAACGUUGCUCGGAAUUAUUGGGCGUAAGCGCACGUAGGCGGCUUAGCAAGUCCCAUGUGAAAGCCCACGGCUUAACCGUGGAAGUGCAUGGGAAACUGCUGAGCUUGAGUACUUAAGAGGAUCGCGGGAAUUCCCGGUGUAGAGGUGAAAUUCGUAGAUAUCGGGAGAACACCAGUGGCGAAGGCGGCGUCUGGGAAGAUACUGACGCUGAGGUGCGAA